rnacentral:rRNA from 1 species
UACGUAGGGUGCGAGCGUUAAUCGGAAUUACUGGGCGUAAAGCGUGCGCAGGCGGUGAUGUAAGACAGUUGUGAAAUCCCCGGGCUUAACCUGGGAAUGGCGAUGGAGACUGCGAGGCUAGAGUUUGGCAGAGGGGGGUAGAAUUCCACGUGUAGCAGUGAAAUGCGUAGAGAUGUGGAGGAACACCGAUGGCGAAGGCAGCCCCCUGGGUCAAAACUGACGCUCAUGCACGAAAGCGUGGGGAGCAAACAGG